GUAAGAUGGUGCAAGCAUAUGAUUUUUAUUGCGUCUUACACUUUGAGAAGCGAAUAAUCUUUAGCUACUUUAUUUAAAUAUUGUGUAAAAACGUUAAUUAUGAGCUAUGAAAGUCAAGUGGCUCAAGCAUUUUACUGAGGAAGUUUUAAAAAAAUGCAAAGAAAUAUUUAAACAGUGGGUUAGAUUUCAUUAGUCUUUACUAUCUAUAGAUUAACAACUUUUGGUUAUAAUUAUAAUUUAGAAUCAUCAUUGAAGGUGGAGCGCGAUUGCACAGGUAAUUAAUUAUAUUGAUG
rnacentral:lncRNA from 1 species